GCCAGGGGCUGGGGCGGGGGCGGGGGCGGGGGCGGGGGCCGGCGGUGGGGUGGGGCCGCGCCCUCGGCCACUCCCCGGGGCGACCGGGCGGCUCCACACGCGCUGCGCCAGCCGCCGGCCCCACGCGCGGCCCAUGUCCUCCGCGCCGCGCUCGCCCACCCCGCGGCCCCGCAGGAUGAAGAAGGACGAGUCGUUCCUGGGCAAGCUGGGCGGCACCCUGGCCAGGAAGCGGAGGGCGCGCGAGGUGAGUGACCUGCAGGAAGAAGGCAAGAAUGCCAUCAACUCACCGAUGUCCCCCGCCCUGGCAGAUGUUCACCCUGAAGACACCCAGCUCGAGGAGAACGAGGAGCGCACGAUGAUCGACCCCACGUCCAAGGAAGACCCCAAGUUCAAGGAACUGGUCAAGGUCCUCCUCGACUGGAUUAACGACGUGCUGGUGGAGGAGAGGAUCAUUGUGAAGCAGCUGGAGGAAGACCUGUACGACGGCCAGGUGCUGCAGAAGCUCUUGGAAAAACUGGCAGGAUGCAAGCUGAAUGUGGCUGAGGUGACACAGUCCGAAAUAGGGCAGAAACAGAAGCUGCAGACGGUGUUGGAAGCAGUACAUGACCUGCUGCGGCCCCGCGGCUGGGCGCUCCGGUGGAGCGUGGACUCAAUUCAUGGGAAGAACCUGGUGGCCAUCCUCCACCUGCUGGUCUCUCUGGCCAUGCACUUCCGGGCCCCCAUCCGCCUUCCUGAGCAUGUAACGGUGCAGGUGGUGGUCGUGCGGAAGCGGGAAGGCCUGCUGCAUUCCAGCCACAUCUCGGAGGAGCUGACCACAACCACAGAGAUGAUGAUGGGCCGGUUCGAGCGGGAUGCCUUCGACACGCUGUUCGACCACGCCCCGGAUAAGCUCAGCGUGGUGAAGAAGUCUCUCAUCACUUUUGUGAACAAGCACCUGAACAAGCUGAAUUUGGAGGUGACGGAACUGGAGACCCAGGACCUCCCCCUUCAGACUCUCCAGGGGCAGCUAACUGCAGUUCAUGUUUGCAGACGGCGUGUACCUGGUUCUGCUCAUGGGCCUUCUGGAAGACUAUUUUGUUCCUCUCCACAACUUCUACCUGACUCCGGAAAGCUUCGAUCAGAAGGUCCAUAAUGUGUCCUUUGCCUUUGAGCUGAUGCUGGACGGAGGCCUCAAGAAACCCAAGGCUCGUCCUGAAGACGUGGUGAACUUGGACCUCAAAUCCACCCUGAGGGUUCUUUACAACCUGUUCACCAAGUACAAGAACGUGGAGUGAUGGAGGACCUGUGGACGGUGGCAGGAGUAUCCCAGCAAGAAAGGCGACAUCUGUCUGUGCCCUGUGCCUUUGCAGGGAGCCGGGUGCCAUGGGCUUCUGGUCCAAACUGUGUUGACUGUCAUCCCCACCCCACCCCUACCUCACGCCCGCACCACCCCCUGCCUCUUUUGGUGGUGGUUCUUAAUCUUCUUUCCAUGUAAUUCCCAGUGGGCAAGAGCCUUUGAAAAUGCAGGAUUCUAAACACCCGUGCUUGCGUUUGAGGCCUCGCAUCACUCAGUUGCGUGGGAUGGAGUCCGUUAUUGUCUGCCUUGGCUGAAAGAUGGAAAAAAGCCUGAAGCCCAACCCACAGCUAGUUGAGAGCACCCUGCAUUCCACCUGAUGGUGCAAUUAGCGGUCACAGGCCUUCAGAAGUACAACAUCAGCUCAGCAGGAAUGCCAGCUCCCCGAGGACCCGGGCUUGAUGAUUCACCAGGGAUCACCUGGGCUGGGCUCGCCUUCGAAGUGAUGCCUAUUUAAUAAAAGGAUUUUGCAGUUUGAAAAACUUUAAA